rnacentral:lncRNA from 1 species
CGGAAUCUUUGAUGUUGAUGUCCCCGCGCAUGUCGGCUCGCGCAUCUUGGCCGCGUCUCGUUUCCAGUGCCCUAAACAAGUGUAAUUUGACAAAUUUACAUAUAAACAUUAAGGAGUGAGGAAGUUAAAACGAUACCAAUCGAGUUUUAGAGCUUUGGUGACCAUUUUAAAAGAAUAUAUGAUAAAUUCAAAGGUAAGUCUAUCGUAUUACAUUGUCUUAAAUGAAUUCUCAGCUAAAAUACGGCAAUAAAUGGAUCAUAAACUUAGCUAAAUUUACUGUUGACAACGAGGUUGACAGAUCCAUUGCUUUUUUGCCUUGAAUAGCUUUACCAUAGUCAUUUUACCUUAAAAUGUAGCUACCGAGGAUAUCUCUAAGAGAUUUUACAUAGAUUAUUUGCACAAUCUCACGAUUUAAUCAUGCUGAUAACAUGAAAAUCCUUGUGCCAUUCUAUACUUGGCAUAAUCUCUACAUCAAUAGUUCACCAGUUCACUAAUAUAAAUUCAAUAUAUUUUUGAACCAGUCCAUAUAUUAUUAUACACAAUGUAGUAUAGUUAAUUUGACCAUACUUGAGAAGUAAGGGUGUAUUUCAUUACACAGACACUGCUGAAUUUUAGGUUACAUGCCAUUGGAUUGAUAUAUAAAAAACACUUGUAAAACACACACAUUAUCUUGUUGAUAGAAUAGUUAUUUGCAGUAUACUAACUGUUGGCAUACUCUAUUUCAGGACUAUCAAUUGUUUUUGUCACUGGCAGUCUUUGAAAUACAAUCUUGCUCUGUGGCCUUUACUGACAAGUUGGCUUUUACUACAUACGUGGCACUGACACUUCUUUAAUUAAUGCACCAGUCAAUGUAAACCCCCCAACCAGGGAGGGGCAGGGAUUUUGACUUGGAGGGGUAGUAAAAAAGCGAAAUUGUCCCCACCCCCAGGGACGUCAAUGUCCCCUGCAUGUCUCUUAACCCCAGGAAAAUAGUUUUGUAUAAUCAUAGAUCAGCAAUAGAAAAUCAGAUUCAUUUAUGUUGUUAUAUUUAAACUUUUCUUGUCAAGAAAACUAAAACAGCAACACAGGAUAUAUAUGUUAAUCACUGUCCAAGUCUCCCAUCAUCGGGGACAAAUUUAUAAUCAAAACUGACCACUUUCCCCGUUAAACCUUCUGCCCCUCCCCGGUUGGGGGCAGGGAUUUACAUUGACUGGUGCAUAACUAGAUGAUUGCAUGAAGCAUUGCAUGGAAGUUGAUUUAUAAUUAGUUUAUGAAUAAACUCGCACUUUCAUUAUAAUGGUUGAUCAAAUAUAUCAUAUGCAUUUGAUUGGUUGAUGGUCCCUUAAUGGUAAUGGUAGUCAAAUCUGAACCUAUAGGGGCGGACCAUUAGAAAUCCCGGGAGGUGGGGUAUAAAAUUUUUGCGGCACGAAUUUUUUUUUCAGUCUCAUGUCUCUGCAGGAAUUUUUUUAAUGCAUUUAACCUCUGCACAAAUUUUUUUUCAAGACUACUUGUACUUUGCUGUUUGCUUGCACGAAUUUUUUUUCUCUGACGUAAUGGCUGCACGAAUUUUUUUUCCAGGCAUUUUUCUUUGCACGAAUUAUUUUUUUUGAAUUUUCACCCCCUUCCGGGAUUUCUAAUGGUCCGCCCCUAAUGUCAAUAUACUGGAAAAGUAUCAAAUUAAAUUUUAAUUGUCAAUGUUGUGGAAAGUAAAUAAAUAAAUCAAACAAUUCUGUUUGUUUCAACUAACUAGUUCACUAUCACUUUGGUUUUCAAAUCAAAGAAUCUUUAACCUGGUUGAGCUUUCGAAAAAGUAGCUGAUUGAUUGAACGCAAGAUUAUUUUACUCUGUCUAACGCCAGACAAUUUCACUCGUCAAGGGGAAAGUGCUGCCACUCAGUGAACUCAAUCAGAGCUCAAUGAGCAGCAGCA